rnacentral:rRNA from 2 species
UGCGGAAGGAUCAUUAACGAAUAUAAAUCGGAAAGCUGUCGCUGGCCUCUCGGGGCAUGUGCACGCUGACCGUGUUUCAAAAAUUUCUCACCUGUGAACCUAAUGUAGGAUGCCUCUCCUCUGGGAGGGGGGACCUAUGUCUUCAUAUACAUCUUCGUGUAGAAAGUCUUAGAAUGUUUACUAUCAGAGAGUCGCGACUUCUAGGAGACGCGAAACUCUGAGAUAAAAGUUAUUACAACUUUCAGCAAUGGAUCUCUUGGCUCUCGCAUCGAUGAAGAACGCAGCGAAAAGCGAUAUGUAAUGUGAAUUGCAGAUCUACAGUGAAUCAUCGAAUCUUUGAACGCACCUUGCGCUCCUCGGUGUUCCGAGGAGCAUGCCUGUUUGAGUGUCAGUAAAUUCUCAACCCUUCUUGAUUGAGGGAGUUUGGAUAGUGGGGGUUGCUGGAGACUUUUAUUAGACUCGAGCUCUCCUGAAAUGCAUCGGCUUGCGGUCGACUUUCGACUUUGCGCGACAAGGCUUUCGGCGUGAUAAUGAUCGCCGUUCGCUGAAGCGCAUGACUGAAGGUUUCGCGCCUCUAAUACGUCGACUCUUAUUAUCUCUUCGGAGAGAAAAGGUCUUCUUUAUUGACUUUUGACCUCAAAUCAGGUAGGACUACCCGCUGAACUUAAGCAUAUCAAUA